CGGCUGCGGCGGUGACGGCGGCGACGGAGGAGGCUGGCGGUGGGGCGGGGGCGGGGACUAAGGAUUCUGAGGUGGGGAGUCGGGAGUUUCUGGAUUCUUUAUCCGGUAUUUCAAGGGCCGCCGGAGGGCUGUCGCUUCUGCAGUGCUUAGGAGCGGCCAGGGCGGGAGGCUCCGCGGAGCCGAGGCGCGGAGAUUUUAAGUUUCUUAAGGGUAAGGACUCUGCCUCAGCAGUCUUUUUCUUGACAAUGACUAUCCAAGUUUUUGGUACCAAGUGGGUACUUGCCUUGUUGAAUGAAAAGAAUAAGAAAGCCUGAGUUUUGUGAAAAACCAGAGAAGAGAAACUAAAAGGACAGUAGAAAAGG
rnacentral:sRNA from 1 species